rnacentral:rRNA from 1 species
GAUGAACGCUGGCGGCGUGCCUAAUACAUGCAAGUCGAGCGAACAGAUGAGGAGCUUGCUCCUCUGACGUUAGCGGCGGACGGGUGAGUAACACGUGGAUAACCUACCUAUAAGACUGGGAUAACUUCGGGAAACCGGAGCUACUACCGGAUAAUAUAUUGAACCGCAUGGUUCAAUAGUGAAAGACGGUUUUGCUGUCACUUAUAGAUGGAUCCGCGCCGCAUUAGCUAGUUGGUAAGGUAACGGCUUACCAAGGCAACGAUGCGUAGCCGACCUGAGAGGGUGAUCGGCCACACUGGAACUGAGACACGGUCCAGACUCCUACGGGAGGCAGCAGUAGGGAAUCUUCCGCAAUGGGCGAAAGCCUGACGGAGCAACGCCGCGUGAGUGAUGAAGGUCUUCGGAUCGUAAAACCCUGUUAUUAGGGAAGAACAAAUGUGUAAGUAACUAUGCACGUCUUGACGGUACCUAAUCAGAAAGCCACGGCUAACUACGUG